GACGAACGCUGGCGGCGUGCUCAACACAUGCAAGUCGAACGAUGAAGCCGGAGCUUGCUCUGGUGAAUUAGUGGCGAACGGGUGAGUAACACGUGAGUAACCUGCCCUUGACUCUGGGAUAACUGCGGGAAACUGUAGCUAAUACCGGAUACGACCCUCGGAGGCAUCUCCUGGGGGUGGAAAGAAUUUCGGUCAAGGAUGGACUCGCGGCCUAUCAGCUAGUUGGUGAGGUAAAGGCUCACCAAGGCGACGACGGGUAGCCGGCCUGAGAGGGUGACCGGCCAAGCUGGGACUGAGACACGGCCCAGACUCCUACGGGAGGCAGCAGUGGGGAAUAUUGCACAAUGGGCGCAAGCCUGAUGCAGCAACGCCGCGUGAGGGAUGACGGCCUUCGGGUUGUAAACCUCUUUUAGCAGGGAAGAAGCGAAAGUGACGGUACCUGCAGAAAAAGCACCGGCUAACUACGUGCCAGCAGCCGCAGUAA
rnacentral:rRNA from 1 species